rnacentral:rRNA from 1 species
AGCGAACGCUGGCGGCAGGCCUAACACAUGCAAGUCGAACGAAGUCUUCGGACUUAGUGGCGGACGGGUGAGUAACACGUGGGAACGUACCUUUUGGUUCGGAACAACUCAGGGAAACUUGAGCCAAUACCGGAUGAGCCCUUAGGGGGAAAGAUUUAUCGCCGAAAGAGCGGCCCGCGUUAGAUUAGCUAGUUGGUGAGGUAAAGGCUCACCAAGGCUACGAUCUAUAGCUGGUCUGAGAGGAUGAUCAGCCACACUGGGACUGAGACACGGCCCAGACUCCUACGGGAGGCAGCAGUGGGGAAUCUUGCGCAAUGGGCGAAAGCCUGACGCAGCCAUGCCGCGUGAAUGAUGAAGGUCUUAGGAUUGUAAAAUUCUUUUACCAGGGACGAUAAUGGCGGUACCUGGAGAAAAAGCCCCGGCUAACUUCGUGCCAGCCGCCGCCGUAAAAC